AGAGAAGUUCUAAAUGUUCUAAAUGUGUACCUAAAACCGAAAACUUUGUAGCGGGGUACUCGAUUGGCCGGCUAAAAGAACGUGUAAAUAAAUGGCAACAGCCGUUUUUUGCCGGGUACCGUUAGUAAUUACGCGUCGAAUUAGAACGGCCGAUUUCGAUCAUGUUGUCCGGGGCAAAGAUGGGGGUACAACUUCCCCUUAGCUUUCCAGCAAGUCGAAACAACCGUAACCGAAUUCAAUGUCUCGAAAUACCGAAAUUCGUCGUCGGUACCAAGGAUGCGUUGAUAUUUAUCAAUUAUCUGGUCGGUAGGUAUAUUUCGUGAUAAUACGAUUCCGCCGAUUUUUCAUCACAAUGUACAAAUAAUUCACGCCCCAUUGAUUUUUGCGCCGACCACUUACAGCGGACAAUUUGUGGACGCCCGACUUGCGGUUAUCUAACG